GUCCUGACUCAACAGCGUGGCUGCGUUCAGAGCACUUUUCCGGAGCUAGGUCCUUGCUAUCCAGAGGGAUCUUGGUCAACUGGACAGAGGUGGUGAAGACCAGGGGCCAUUAUGAAUGGACAAGUGCUCUCUGAUGCAUUUAUUUAUCUACAUCAUCCCCAAAGUCACUGACAGAAAUACAAACAGGAUCCAAAAGAUCAGAAUGGGCUUUUCUUGGGCUUCCCUGCCUUCCCAGCGACCGUGCUGCGUGGACUUUCAGGAGGAAAGAAGAGCUCCAGGGCCUCCCCGACGCCAGGAGCGGGGCGGUCUUUCCCACCAGUGGGAGCAGAUUGGAACCUUCCCAGGUCCAGUAGCAGCUGCUGAGAACAGAGGGAGCAGCUGGCCUGGCAGGGGGCCACACUUAGCUUUGGCUUUCUCAGCGUUUACAUCCACCGCCCACGCAGGGGAUGCAGGUUUAAAUUGGAUGUGAAUAGGGAGUAUUUAAUUUGGACUCGUGAAUACGGAGUAUAUUUAAGUGGCCUUAACCACUUUGACUUUGCUUGCAGUCAGCUGUCACUGGGCAUCAGUCUGAAGCCU
rnacentral:lncRNA from 1 species